CCUCUCAAAUCUCCAGCCCGAGGCCCUGCUCAUCGAGUUUACAGCCUUGAGUGUUGGAUUUGGCCCGUGGACCGACGAGCCAAUGUUCCUCCCUGAUCUGCUUCAACGUUUGAGCAGUUGGGUUGUAGCAACGCUGGAAGAAAAGUAUUUUGUGCGAGAGUUUAAUAUCGGAAGAGUCAUAUCCAUCCAAGGAGAUGUGAAUAUUCAAGGGACCGCUCUUCUCUCUACGCCCGUACAUGUGGACAAUGCUGAGGUGUUGAUGCUACUUAACGACCUUGUGAAUCGGUCCGUGGAUCUGAGGUCCU